GCUUCUCCCAGGCAGAUGAGCCACAAGAUGCUUGGGGUGAACACUCACCUGACAUUCAAGAGAAUGCAUUUUCUUUGCUGAGACCUUCAAGUUCCAAGCAAGAAAGAACACAGCACUGCCAGCUGGAAACUUGGGAAGAACACCCAUCUAUCACUCAAGCUGUUCCAGUGAGCUUGUCCAAUGAAAAUGAGCAAGAGGAUGCUUGGGGUGAACACCCA